AUAUAUGUAUGAGUGCGUCAAGUGUUCAGGAAACAGGUUUAAUCCCUAGAUGCGCGUCCACAAGUCUCGUGCUAACAACUUAAGACCAGGCAAGUAUGUUUCCUAGUUUCUUCCACAGCCUCGUUUCCAUUCAUCGUUUCAAAUGCGGUGGGGGGAACAGAUGGGCGUGGCCCGAAGCCGCUCCCAAUGGGACGCAAAGGUGUGUUUUAGGGUAGACCAAUGGUGCGGGGGCACUGUGCGUGAUCAGGGGCUGAAGGCACCGUGUAGACUGCGUGGUACACAACAGCAAGGGAGUGUGAGAAAAACCCCACCCCCCAACCCACACACCCACCUUGCAAAUAACUGGCGUUUUUAAUAAGUAACUUUGCCCUGACGAGCAGACGCUCACCAUCUGUCCUGACUAAUCAUCACUAUGACACUUGGAGUGAAGACAGUGAGAAAAGAUGCUCAUUAUCAGAUAGCAACAGCAGACCCUUGUCUUUUGUGGGAGGAAAGAGGUCAGCCAACAGGAGAUGGCCUCAGCCAGCCCUGUGGAUUAGGAAACAUUUCCUCGGUCGAGCUGCAGAUAAAGUGGACUGCAGGCCAGGAUAAAAGAGGAACCUGACUUGGAGGAGAAGUGCAAGUCUUUUUUCCUCAACAUGCUUCAAUGGAAUUCGGCAGGCAAACUCUUAUUUUCAGUUCCAGCUUUGAAGGGCGAUUCUCCAUGAGCUUAUCAGAAUGCAUAAAUAUCCUGAAAAAACUCUGCAGAGUUUGUGUGUUAGCAAAUAAUCAGAAGAGCAGUGCAGGAAGGACAGCUGUCAUUACUACAACUGUCUCACAUUAUUAUCAAAGGUAAACCAUGCCACCUACUGGUGAGAUAAACUGCAGUUUUGUGAGAUUGUACAUGUAUAACAAAAAUAUGAGUUGGAAAUCAUUGUUUUGCAUAGGCUGUUUUCAUUUAUUUAUUUGUCUUUUAACAAUGCAUUUUUUUGGAGGGGACAGGAAACACAAAAUCUAUAUUUCAGAAAAUUGGAAAAUUCAAAUCUUAUCAUUUGCACCAUGCACUGAGCAGAGGUUCAUUCACCCCUCCUCUCCCUAAUGUGGCCAUCUCUUGACUAUAGCUCCUCUGCUCACAUCCAUGACAUGCAUGGGUCAAGAAUUAAGCUCUGCUUAAACUAUAGUUUCCUUUUGACAAUGUUACAUAAUGGUAACGUUGUGCUUAAAUUAGAGUCUUCUACUUUUUCUUUCUUUCAAACAACAGAAAAUUAUUUCCUUAACUCAACAGGGCUUAAAUAGACUGGGAAUACCGCACUAACACAGUUUUCCAUGGGAGGAAGAUCAGCUGUGCACAGACUCCCAGUGGUCUUCCAUUUAUAGAGCUCAGGUUUUAGGUGGUUCAGUUUGAAAUAUAAACCAGUGUAAGAAUAGCAGCAAUGAUCUGAGGGUCA